rnacentral:rRNA from 1 species
AGUGAACGCUGGCGGUAGGCCUAACACAUGCAAGUCGAACGGCAGCACAGUAAGAGCUUGCUCUUACGGGUGGCGAGUGGCGGACGGGUGAGGAAUACAUCGGAAUCUACUUUUUCGUGGGGGAUAACGUAGGGAAACUUACGCUAAUACCGCAUACGACCUACGGGUGAAAGCAGGGGAUCUUCGGACCUUGCGCGAUUGAAUGAGCCGAUGUCGGAUUAGCUAGUUGGCGGGGUAAAGGCCCACCAAGGCGACGAUCCGUAGCUGGUCUGAGAGGAAGAUCACCCACAGUAGGAGUGAAACAGCGGCCCGCCUCCACCGGGUGCCACCAGUGGGGAAUAGUGGACGAUGGCCUCAGGCUGGACCCACCCAUACCGCGGGAAAGAAAAAGUCCUUCUGCUUGUAAGGCUCUUCUGUUGGGAAAAAAAGGAAACGCUCUAAUACCCCGCUGUCCAGACGCUACCCAAAGGGUAAGCGCCGGCUAACUUCGUC